UGGCUAUACUAAAUCAUAUAAAAUACCCCUUAAAAAAAUAAUUAUACACUAAUUUUAUUAAAUAUUAAAACAUAAGUACUAAAAAGGAAAAGAUAUCAAUUUUAAGUAGUGUUAAUCCACGUACCUUGUGCAUUAUGGUUUUACAAGCUAAAAAUUAAAAAAUAUACUCCCGAAUCCUACGCGAGCUGCCCACCUAUAGCUAUAGAGCCCACUACUAGUUGUAGCAACAACUUUAGAAAAUAUGUUGGCAGAGGCUACAUACCACCCGCGCUAGUAAAUCGCUGGUUUUCAGUAAAAUUUAUUUAUUAAAACAUGUAGCACAUCUACAGUGUAAGAUUUCAGAGGAUAAGCCCUGUAAUCUCAAGCUAAUUCCUAUAUUACAUUAAUAGUUAGGCCUAAAAUCAGCCACCUCAAAUACUUUACCGUAUUAUAUUAUAUCCAAUAACUAGCUCUCACUAUGCUUCCAUAAACUGAAAAUUAAGAUAAACCUCAAAUCCUAAAAUACUCUGUAAAAAUAAGUAUUAUAAAAUAAUCAAGAACUUCAUUAAAACUAUAAAUCAAUUUAACAAAUAAACACUUAUAAAGGAACUCGGCAAAUACUUAUUUUUCCUGUAUCCUCAUAAGAAGUAAUUCCUGCCCGGUGACUCAUGUUCAACGGCCGCGGUAUCCUAACCGUGCAAAGGUAGCAUAAUCACUUGCCCAUUAAUUGUGGGCUAGAAUGAAUGGACUAACGAAAUAAAAACUGUCUCUAUAAGCCCAAUAAAAAUUAAUCUCUAACUGAAGAGUGUUAGAUUUUAUCGAAGGACAAGAAGACCCUAUAGAGCUUUAUCCUACAUAAAAACCUUUUUAAAUGGAUUCGGUUGGGGCGACCCGGGAAAUAAUAAAUCAUCCCCCUUUAACAGAUAACUAAAUCUCAAUUCUGACCCUUAAUAAAGAUCACAAGACCAAGCUACCUUAGGGAUAACAGGCUAAUCUCACUAAAGAGUCCUUAUCAAUAGUGAGGUUUGGCACCUCGAUGUUGGCUUAGGGAAUCUAUAUGACGCAAAAGUCACAUAAAGAUGGUUUGUUCAACCAAUAACCCCUACAUGAGCUGAGUUCAGACCGGCGUAAGCCAGGUUAGUUUCUAUCCUCGAUAAUCUGACCUAUUUAUAGUACGAAAGGACCUAAAUAAGGAUAAUAAUUAUAUUCAAAGAAUAAAUAUAAUAUAAUUUAAAAGAAGACUAUACAUAAAAUA
rnacentral:rRNA from 1 species